AUGAGCAUUGACAAGAAGAAGAUAAAGCGGCAAAAACAGGCCAAGAUGAAAUCCAACAGCAGGAUGGCGUCAACAACCCCAAAAACAAGAAUGAACGCAACAAACAAAGCAACCUCACAACAGACAGUGCUACAACAACAACUACUCCAACACAAGCACAAGAUACAAUCGACGUCAGAACCAGUGAAGAGGUCACUGGAGAACAAUCAAGUCAGCAGUCCCGUCAACCAAAUGCAGGAGGCUCACCCAAAAUCAACCAUUAGCAUAACAAACAACAAAGAAGAAGAAAACAAUGAAGAGGAGGCAUCACAAUCACUGCAAGACCAAGAGACAACCAGUGUUUAA
rnacentral:rRNA from 1 species